GCCUCGAUGGUGUAGUGGUAGCACGCGUCCUAGUUAAGGAUGAAACAAGGGUUCGAUUCCCGUCUGAGGCC